AGCUGAUCACUGGGCAUAAAGCGUGCGCAGGCGGUUUUGUAAGACAGAGGUGAAAUCCCCGGGCUCAACCUGGGAACUGCCUUUGUGACUGCAAGGCUAGAGUACGGCAGAGGGGGAUGGAAUUCCGCGUGUAGCAGUGAAAUGCGUAGAUAUGCGGAGGAACACCGAUGGCGAAGGCAAUCCCCUGGGCCUGUACUGACGCUCAUGCACGAAAGCGUGGGGAGCAAACA
rnacentral:rRNA from 1 species